UGACCUGAGCUCUGUGAGCUGAUUCCACCAGUGACUGAGCACAGACCACCACCAUGGAGCUGGGGCUGCGCUGGGUUCUCCUUGUUGCUCUGUUGAAAGGUGUGCAGUGUGAGGUGCAGGUGGUGGAGUCUGGCGGAGGCUUGGUGCAGCCUGGGGGGUCCCUGAGACUCUCCUGUGCAGUCUCUGGAUUCACCUUCAGUAAUUCCUGGAUGAGCUGGAUCCGCCAGGCUCCAGGGAAGGAACUGGACUGGGUAGAAGAAAUUAAUACAGAUGGUGGUAGCACAUGGUACGCAGACCCUGUGAAGGGCCAGUUCACCUUCUCCAGAGACAACAGUAAAACACGCUGUACCUGCAAAUGA